rnacentral:rRNA from 1 species
AGCAGUGGGGAAUUUUGGACAAUGGGCGCAAGCCUGAUCCAGCAAUGCCGCGUGAGUGAAGAAGGCCUUCGGGUUGUAAAGCUCUUUUGUCAGGGAAGAAACGGUGAAGGCUAAUAUCCUUUGCUAAUGACGGUACCUGAAGAAUAAGCACCGGCUAACUACGUGCCAGCAGCCGCGGUAAUACGUAGGGUGCAAGCGUUAAUCGGAAUUACUGGGCGUAAAGCGUGCGCAGGCGGUUUUGUAAGUUUGUCGUGAAAGCCCCGGGCUCAACCUGGGAAUUGCGAUGAAGACUGCAAGGCUUGAAUCUGGCAGAGGGGGGUAGAAUUCCACGUGUAGCAGUGAAAUGCGUAGAGAUGUGGAGGAACACCGAUGGCGAACGCAGCCCCUGGGUCAAGAUUGACGCUCAUG